UACGAGAGGCCCAAACGUUAUUCGGAAUCACUGGGCUUAAAGAGUUCGUAGGCGGCGCGGAAAGUGGGGUGUGAAAGCCCUCGGCUUAACCGAGGAAUUGCGCUCCAAACUGCCGUGCUUGAGGAGGCUAGAGGUAAGCGGAACUGAUGGUGGAGCGGUGAAAUGCGUUGAUAUCAUCAGGAACACCGGAGGCGAAGGCGGCUUACUGGGGCCUUUCUGACGCUGAGGAACGAAAGCCAGGGGAGCAAACGGG
rnacentral:rRNA from 1 species